CUGGAAAUAACUAUACCAUAAGAUGACUUAAAGUUCAGUGGCUGCAUUUGAUGACUGAGAAAAGUCCAGGUGGAAUAUUUGCCAAGAAAAGACUGACCUCUGAGAUGACUGCAUUCACUAUUUGAGAAAAUAUUUAUAAGGACUCCUGAGUAAGAGCACUUUUUGGCAUAUUGCCACUGAGGCAACUCCUGCCACUCAGGUAUGCUGCAGUGAAUCUAAUGAGUCUCCUGUGGCUUUGAACCAUGGUUUAAGGAUGACAUUCUGAGAAAGACUACUAAGGAAAAAAUUUUUACACUGUUGCCCAGGGGGGCAAUUUGCACCACCCAAGUGUCUGACAGUAAAUACGUGGCAUCUGGUUUGCUAUAGCACCAGUGUUUAAAGAUCCAUCUCUGGUAAUGAAGACCACUUUUUGGCUUGUUGACACUAGUACAGCUAAUAUGUCUAAGUAUCUGUCUUAUCUCCUGGCAACUUUCAAUCGUGGUUUAACAAUACCAUUACAACAGUAUUUGGAGGAUAGUGAGAAAUAAAUUAUUUUUCGAAUUUCACCGUAAGUCAAGGUUAAAAGCUAGAACAAGUUUUUGACUUCAGGGAAGAGAGUCUCACUGAGAUAGAAGAGCUAGAAUCUGGUCUUCCACUUCAGAAAUAAGGUACUCCAGGGAAAUGGCGAGAUGCUCUACAGGCUGGAGUCAUAUAUUUUUAUCUUCUCUGGAGGCUUUCCUCUUCUUCCAGUUUUUAUCUGCAAAGGAAAGGGAAUUACAGAAGAGGAUCCUGCCUUAUCAAGCUGCUGCAGCUGUAAAUAUGACAUUUUACCAGGGGUGAGGGUAAUGACUUUCUUUCCUGGAAUACAGCCUCCUGGGAAUCCCAAAUGAGAUUCCCUGGCUUGGAUACUAGCUUCCAACCUCUCCCGUCCUGACAGUUCUACACUGGAUGGUACUCAUCUGCUGGGUGCCUGGAUUCAGGCAGGAAGGCCACAUGCACAGGGUUAUUUUCAAGACAGCUUAUGGCUCAUUUCUUACACCGAACAUGUGUGGCCCGUGGGAAAUACCCACCUUGACCCCAUCACUGGCAAAAGUGCCAUUUAUUCAGCUUCCACAGGUCAUUUCAUGCAUAUCUUACCUUGGGACCCUUUCCACACUUUAGAGUCAAGUACCAUUCCUGUGUUCUCCAACAUCUAAAGAUCUCAGGUCAAGGUGCUGAAGUAGUUAAUUUGAAACAUAUGCUGCUGGGCUUAAGAACCAGAAACUCCCAUCUCAUUCUGAGACCAGUAUUACUCUGAUACCAAAACCAGACACAAAGAUAUAACAAGAAAACUACAGACCAAUAUCCUUUAUGAAUAUAGAUGCAAAUAUUCUAAACAAAAUACUAGCAAACCAAAUCCAGCAGCAUAGAAAAUGGUUUAUGUAGCAUAGACAAGUGGGAUUAUUCCAGGAAUGCAAGGUUGGUUCAAUAUACAAAAAUCCAUCAAUGUAAUACAACAUAUCAAUAGAAUAAAGGACAAAAACUACAUGACAACCUUAAUAGAUACAGAAGAAGCAUUUGACAAAGUCCAAUACCCUUUUUUGAUAAAAACACUCAACAAACUAGGAAUAGAUGGGAAUUUCCUUAACUUGGAAGCAUCUAUGAAAAACCCACAGCUAACAUCAUACUUAAUGGUGAAAGACUGAAUGCUUUCCCCCUAAAAUCAGGAACAAGAAAAAGAUUUCCACUCUUGCCACUUCUAUUCAAUAUUGUACGGAGGUGCUAGCCAGGGCACUUAGGCAAGAAAAUGAAAUAAAAAGAAUUCAGACUGGAAAGGAAGUAAAAGUAUUUCUAUUCACAGAUACAUGAUCUUGUUUAUAGAAAAUCCUAAGGAAUCAAAAAAAUUAGAAUAAAUGAGUUCAGAAUAGCUAUAGUAUACAGGGUCAAUACAUAAAAAUCAAUUAUAUUUCUAGAUCUAGCAAUGAAUAAUCCAAAAAUGAAAAUUUAGAAAACAAUUGUCUGUAAUAGCAUUAAAAAGAAUAAAACACUUGGAAAACUUUUAACCAAAGAGGUCAAGACUUAUACACUGAAAUCUAUAAAACAUCAUUGAAAGAAACUAAAGACCUAAACAAAUGGAAAGACACUCCACAUUCAUGAAUUGAAAAAUUUAAUACUGUUAAAAUAGCAACAUUCCUCAAACUGAUCUAUAUAUUCAACACAAUCACUAUCAAAAUCCCAGGUGCUUGUUUUGCAGAAAUUAACAAGUUGAUCCUAAAAUUCAUGUGGAAUACAAGGGACCCAGAAUAGACAAAAUGAUCUUGAAAUAGAACAGAGUCAGAACUCAUACAUCCCAAAUUCAAAACUUACUACAAAGCUAUAGUAAUCCAAACAGUGUGGUAACUGGCAUAAGGAUAGACAUAUAGAACAAUGGAAUAAAACUGAGAGUCCAAAAUUAAAGUCUUAUAUUUAUGGUCAAUUGUUUUUUGACAAGGGUGCCAAGACCAUUCAUGAGGAAAUAAUAAGUCUUUUCAACAGUUGUUGCUUGUAUGACUAGAUAUCGACAUACCAAAAAGAUGAAACUGGAUCCCUACAAUGCACCACAUGCAAAAAAUGGAUCAAAGACCUAAAUAUAAGAAUUAAAACUAUAAGAUGCUUAAAAGAUAUAACCAAGAGAAAUGAAAACGUAGGUCCACAUAAAAACUUGUACACAAAUGUUCAUAGUUGUAAUAUUCAUAAUAGCCAAGAAGCAGAAACAACGCAAGUAUCCAUCAACUGAGUAGAUAAACAAAAUACAGUAUAUCAAUACAAUGACAUUAUUCAGCCACAAAAAGAAACGAGGUACUGAUAAACAUGCUACAACAUGGAUGCACUUUGAAAACAUUACUUCGAGUGGGAGGAAGAAAAAAAGACACAAAGGCCACAUAUUGUAUAAUUCCAUUGAUAUGAAAUGUCCACAACAGGCAAAUCCAUAGGCAGAAAGUAGAUUAGUGGUUGCCAGGGGCUGGGGAUUAAGAACAGUGAUGAAAAUGCUCUGGAAUUAUAUAAUGAUGACAAUUGCACAAUUCUGUGAAUAUACUAAGAACCACACAUUUUACAAUUUGAAAAGGGUGAAUUUUAUGGUAUGUGAAUUAUAUCAAUUAAACAAUGAUGAGGGAAAGCACUCCUCUUCCAUUUUCAGAUGGAGGAGGGAAGGUCAAUUCUUGCUCAACAAAUCUUUAUUACAAACAUUUCCAACCUCUCAGUAGACUUUCCUUUCUCUUAUUUUUCUGGCAAAUAUUGGGAGAACCCAUCUGUCUCUCAGGAUGUCUUGCAAGAUGUUAUCUAGCAUAUGUAUCUCAAUUUCUUUGAAUCAUGACAACCAGUGAUAAGGUAGGAUUGGGUAUAAUCCAAGCCAAGGGAAUGGCAGGGCCAGGACCGAAAACCAGAGUCAUCUGACUCUGAAGGCUGCACCCUCAACCACUGUGUACUGUUUCCCAGAUACAUCCAAUCCUAUUUUCUCUGGUUUCCUAGGGACAAGAAGGUAAUUAGAAUAAUUAUCCCAGGUCCUGCUUAGUUGAGUCUAAGAAUCUUGAUUUGAUGUUUGAUUUUUGGCAAUGGGAAAAUGACAGAUUUUAAGAUUGAUGUGGGUCCAGCUCCCCUGUUCAUCUAUUUACUGGGUGUGGGACUUUGGGCAAGGUGUCAAGUCACAGUGAUCUAUUCUAUGAAAAUGAAAGAUCAUGUAUACAAGGCUGUGCACUAUAACUCCCUUCAGAACCUAAAGGAAUUCAACUUAGAGUAUAAGAAAAUGCUAAAUAUGUCUCUCAUACAGAAGGCACUCACCAUGGUGAAUGCUUCAUUUAGUAGAGAGAGCAGUGUUCGGCUGAGGGGUUAAGGAUCUGAGAAUCACUCCUUGAUAAGCAUGAGUGGCUGGCAACAGCACAAUGGUGUAAGAUCUCAGCCCCUAUUUCCACAGGGAGAGAAGGGAAGAGUGUAGAUACAGAGAGGCUUCUGGUUGCCAGUGUACCAGAAGAGGGAAAAGUUACAUAAAAAUCUUGCUUUUAAGGGCCUUUUCAUACCUCUUAUUGAUCUUCCUUUCCACAGGCUAAAAUGAUAAGAGUCAAUGAUUUCAGGGAGCCUCCUCACUGGGGAACAAAUUCUUAACCAUUAAAAAUUCAAAUAUUUUUAAAAAUUUUAAUCAAAGUUUUGUCAAGAUUGUGGAAGGAUUAACAAAUUAAGCACCUACUAUUUUUGAGAGACAUAAAGACUUAGAGAAACACAAUCCCCACCAAGAAUUUGUUUUUAUUCCAGGUAACAGUUAUAAAAAAAAUAAACAGAAGCUUCAAAAACAAAGCUAUAAUGUAGAAAGGAUCUUAUCAAGAUUAGCCUGAAACACUCCUUAAGAAUUCUAAAUCCUCGCUGUUCAAAUAAUUCCCCACCAUUCUGUGCUACCAUAGAUGUGUGGGCUGCUAUGAGGUUAUGGAGGCACUUGGGCAGGGGAGGGGGUAUUCAAUGCAGUCUUUAUGGACAAAGUGCAUUUAAAAUUUGGUCUUGAAGGAUAUUUGAGAAAUAUAAAAUCAUUGGGUCUAUGACAAGUGAAAAUGCUGAGUAGGAGUGUGCAUGUGGAGAGAGGUGCCUGUAAUACAAGAACUGAGAAGGUAGGUUGGGCUCAGUCUGUGGUGAACACAGGAUGCCAGACCUGGAUGUUUAUUCAAUGAACAGGUUUUUGGAUGGAGGGUAAAAGUAGGAAAACUGUUAUUUCAGCAGAAUUAAAAGGUUGACAAUAAGAAGUUAGAGUCAGGGAGACAAGUUAGGAAGGAACUAAGAACAUCCGUUGGGUUAGAGGAUCAAGGAAUGAAAGGAAGCCUAAUUGAGUAACAAUGGGAAAGAUCUGAGAUAAAAGAAGGGACAAAGGAUGAGAGAUUUUGAUGACUUAGGACAAAGGUGACACUUUUAAGAAAGCAGUAAAGAAUGGCUGCUAGAGAUGUAAGUUUAAGAGUUUUGUUUUUAGGUAUACUGGCUUUGAGCACCAAAAAGAUAACCUAGAGCUAGAGGUCUGAGCAGAAGGUAUGGAACUGGAGAAGAAUCUUUGGGAAGUGCUGAGGCUAACCAAAGAGAAUGGGACAGGUUCAGAUAAGAACUUUAGAACUGAAGGAGUAUCCAACCAAGACUUGGAUGAGUUGCUAUGGAAAAAGGAGCAGUUAGAGAAGAAGUAGCUCAAGUUUUGGGUGCUGCCACAGUUUAAAGGUAAGAGCUCUUGAUUUCGGCAAUUAAGAGAUUAUGAACAUCCUUGAGCAGUGCACCUUCAGUGAAACAGCACUGGAUUAACGCCCUUUCUCAUAAUGAAAUCCAGUCCAUGUAUUCAACAAAAUCUUCUUGCAGUGAUUGUUACAAAUAUCAAUCCACUGUCUUGAACAGGAAAGGGAAAAAAGGCUUGGUACUUUCUACACUUAUAAACCCUCUCCUCCCCAGACAAGACGAUUCUUACACACUUAACAUUGUGGAUAAAAGGUUGCUAGACCAAGAAAGGGAGCAAGUGAAAUUUGUGUAUUUUUAUUCUUUGGUGCCCCAGGGAAGGAUGGGAAAGGUACAGAUAGUCCUUAGAGGUUGAUGGAAGGACAGAAAAAUAUUUUUGAGGUAAGCAGGUAAAAGGGAAUCAAGAUUACAGAAAGAAUAGCUUUGGGAAGACACUUCUUCCUCUGGCAGUUUGUAUGGAUUCUUAGGAAGAUCCUUAAAAAGAGCUUGGAAUCUCAGCACAGCCAUGUUUUUAUGGGAAAAGGGAAUGAUGCUGCACAUUACAACCACUGUCCUUUCCAAUAAGAUGCCCGUGCCAAGGGAGAAUGAAUAACAUUAGUAAAUUUUGUUUAUUUAAAGCCUUAUUUUCAAGUUUCUUUUUGACAUGUAUCUCCCUCUAUAGUCAUGUAUCCCAAACUAAAGUUAAAGAAACUGUAAGUGGAUUUCAUCACACAAUUAACCACAGCCCAGUGCAGGGUCAGGACAUUCAAUUCAUUUGCUGGAGAUUCCAGGCUCCACAAAGUCUGGUUGCAGGCUGUGUUUUUAUGCUUUAUGUUUGAAAUAUUCUACAGUAAUACUAAAAGAAGCUUACAUUUUAUUUUAAAAGCCAACUUUAAUUUACAAUUUAACAUGCCCCAAGAGCUUCCUGGAGAUUGUGGGCCAAUUGAAAGAAACCCAAAAUUUACAAGCAUAUCUAGCCAAAAAAGUACUUUUAUAAUCUAACAUCUGGGGUAUAGGAAGUAGCUACUACAUUUAAAAUUUAUAUUGUUUUCCUCUUUCUUAAGAUACUGUUCAGUGAUGUUCUAAUAAACAAUAGUGAAAAGGAAAUAACAGAAGUGAUAAUAUGCCCAGAAUAAUUGAUUACUAAGUAUUAAGCAAGAGCAAUUAAUUUCUAAGAUCAUUUUUUGUCUUAAAAAUUUUUUAAGGAUAGUUUUAUUUUUGAUUCUGUUAAGUCUAUUUUCUAUUUGAUGUGAAUUAUGAAUCUGAUAACCUAUACCUGAUUAUCAUUUUAAGACUUUUCACACAGACAUGCUAUUACAAUUGUAGAAGUUCAAUACUGUUGUGAUAAUAAAACUUGAGAACUGAAGAGCACAAAUUUCUUCAUGAAUUUAUUAUAUAAAAUGUCCCCAGAGCAUUUAAUUUCUCCUCACUUUCAUAAUACAUAAGAAGCACAGUGGAUGAGAGGCCUUUUAAAAUGACUAUAGUCACACAAGGGUCCCUUGCAUCAAGGUAGUAUACACAUACCUUUAACAGGGUACUUAUAGGCUGGCCCAGAAAAACCCCAUGUUACCUUAUCACAAUAUGGAAAGCAUUUUCUUUUUUCCACUAAACUAUGGUGAAAAAUGCCACUGUUUUAUUUAGCAUCACAGUACAUAACAAUUCUGUUUCAAUUACUAAAAGAAUUAAAAAUAAUCCUGAAAGACAUCCUUUUUCCCCUCCAAUGAUUUGAAAGCUGUAUUUUUCCUGCCAAUUUCAAACAAAUCAUCAGGUUGAUCUCCAGUAAUCAGUUAAAACAAUCAUCAAGGCACAAGCUCAGCACAUUAGCUGUAGCUUGCAGUAAAAUGAUAUAUCGAUAUGUCUCUCCUUAGUUAAAAAUACAUAAUCCUUUUAUUUUAUAAUGUAAUAAAAGAAAUUAACAUCACAGACACAGAAUACUAGGAAAAGGGAAACUACUACUUUAAAUAUCCAGAAACUUAAACCUACUUGUACUUUUCUGUGGUACAUGAAAGUAAUCUUUAACACUUACUUUUUGAAGUAAAAUUUAAUCUUUGGGGAUAUACAAUGUAAUUCUUAGGAGUAAUAUCUCCAUUCAUUUCCAGGCCUGCUUACUAUAUGACUAAGUAACACAAGGCACAGCAGCCAUCCUUUCCAUUACGCUGCAACACUGAUCAUGUGCCUUGAUAAAAUAGCUGAUUAAACAAAAUGAUGGCAACAUGAAGGGGAGACUUUGGAUUGUCUAUUUAAAAUCUAGGUAAUAAUUAAUAAAAAGUUUAUUUAAGUGCACUUUCACAUGCUUUUUGUUUAUAAUAAACAACAAACUUACUAACUUUGACUACCAUAUCAUUUGGCCAAAUGCACUUUCCCCAGUAAACUUAAAACAACAAGAACAACAACAACAACAAAAAAUCCCUGUCCUUUUAUAUACUAAGAAAGAGGAUUGGCUACUAAACAAUUCAUUGCAAGACACGUGAAGACGACAUACUGUGGCAUGAGUUGUUUUUAAUUUGUUGUGCUGUUACUAAAGUAAAGUUCUGAGGGCUGCAGUUCAAACAUUCCAAGUUCUCCCUUCUGUCUUUAUUGAUUCCCAAGAUUUUGCACAGAAAACUCUUUGGGGGCUAGAACAGCAGUACUUGCAUCACACUGUUUCCAAGACUUCAAGUUUAAAAAGCAAAUCUUUAAAAAAAAAAAAAAAAAAAAAAUACAGUUCCUGAUUUGAGUUA